UACAGAGGGUGCGAGCGUUAAUCGGAUUUACUGGGCGUAAAGCGUGCGUAGGCGGCUUUUUUAAGUCGGAUGUGAAAUCCCCGAGCUUAACUUGGGAAUUGCAUUCGAUACUGGGAGGCUAGAGUAUGGGAGAGGAUGGUAGAAUUCCAGGUGUAGCGGUGAAAUGCGUAGAGAUCUGGAGGAAUACCGAUGGCGAAAGGCAGCCAAUCUGGCCUAAUACUGACGCUGAGGUACGAAAGCAUGGGGAGCAAAACAGG
rnacentral:rRNA from 1 species